rnacentral:tRNA from 1 species
CGGGUAGCUCAGCUGGAUAGAGCAUCUGCCUUCUAAGCAGAUGGUCAUGGGUUCGAAUCCCAUCCC